rnacentral:rRNA from 2 species
UGAGGAAUAUUGGUCAAUGGACGGAAGUCUGAACCAGCCAAGUAGCGUGCAGGAUGACGGCCCUAUGGGUUGUAAACUGCUUUUGUAUGGGGAUAAAGUUAGGGACGUGUCCCUAUUUGCAGGUACCAUACGAAUAAGGACCGGCUAAUUCCGUGCCAGCAGCCGCGGUAAUACGGAAGGUCCAGGCGUUAUCCGGAUUUAUUGGGUUUAAAGGGAGCGUAGGCUGGAGAUUAAGUGUGUUGUGAAAUGUAGACGCUCAACGUCUGAAUUGCAGCGCAUACUGGUUUCCUUGAGUACGCACAACGUUGGCGGAAUUCGUCGUGUAGCGGUGAAAUGCUUAGAUAUGACGAAGAACUCCGAUUGCGAAGGCAGCUGACGGGAGCGCAACUGACGCUUAAGCUCGAAGGUGCGGGUAUCAAACA